rnacentral:rRNA from 1 species
GACGGAGGAUGCAAGCGUUAUCCGGAAUGAUUGGGCGUAAAGCGUCCGCAGGUGGCUGUGUAAGUCUGCUGUCAAAGAGCGAAGCUCAACUUCGUAAAGGCAGUGGAAACUACACGGCUAGAGUGCGUUCGGGGCAGAGGGAAUUCCUGGUGUAGCGGUGAAAUGCGUAGAGAUCAGGAAGAACACCGGUGGCGAAGGCGCCCUGCUAGGCCGCAACUGACACUGAGGGACGAAAGCUAGGGGAGCGAAUGGG